AUGCAAGUCGAACGGGACAUUGUGAGUAGCAAUACAAGCAGUGUCUAGUGGCGAACGGGUGCGUAACACGUGGAUACAUUCCGGGAAGCGGGGGAUAGCCCAGGGAAACUUGGAUUAAUACCGCAUGUGGUCGAAAGACUAAAGGCAGGGACCGCAGGGCCUGCCACUUCCCGAUUGGUCCGCGGCCUAUCAGCUAGUUGGCGGGGUAAAAGCCCACCAAGGCUACGACGGGUAGCUGGUCUUAGAGGACGACCAGCCACACUGGAACUGAGACACGGUCCAGACACCUACGGGUGGCAGCAGUCGAGAAUCUUUCACAAUGGGGGGCAACCCUGAUGGAGCGACGCCGCGUGGAGGAUAAGGUCUUCGGAUUGUAAACUCCUGUCAUGUGUGAACAAGGUUGUCUCGUUAAUAGCGGGGCAAAUUGAUGGAACACAAGAGGAAGAGCGGCUAA
rnacentral:rRNA from 1 species